GUGAUUUUUUUCCUUUUCUUGGUGUGAUUGAUCUUCAAGGACUCACUCGCCGCCUCAAGGAUCUUGCAAAGGUGUUUGAUGAGUUUCUUGAGAAGAUGAUCGAUGAACAUGUCCAGUCUCGUGAUCAGAAGCAAUCCAAGGACUUUGUUGACAUCAUGUUGGACAUUAUGCAAUCAGGAGAAACAAAAUUUCAGUUUGAUCGUAAUCAUAUAAAAGCUAUCCUUUUCGUACGUUUAUUUCAUCCCAUUUAUAUACACUACAAAAACAGUGUGAACUGCAUGAGUAAUCAUGAAAAUAAGUUUCCUGCAAAUUCUCAUACAGGAAAAUCUCCACGUAACUCACAGUUUUCUUGUAGUGAUACUUCUAAUAUUAUUAGGUUUGUAUGUACUAAUUUCUCCUUUCUAUAACAGGAUAUGUUAAUUGCAGCAAUGGGUACUUCAGCAACAGCUAUAGAAUGGACACUAACAGAGCUUCUUCGACAUCCUCACGUGAUGAAGAAACUCCAAAAAGAGUUAGAAGAAGUGGUAGGACUUGAAAGAAUGGUAAAAGAAUCAGACUUGGAGAAGUUAAACUACUUAAACAUGGUUGUGAAGGAGGGGAUGAGGCUGCAUUCUGUAGCGCCACUAAUACCUCACGAGUCCAUAAAAGAUUGUGUAGUCGAUAACUUCCACAUAAAACAAGGAUCCCGGAUCAUGCUUAACUAUUAUGCUAUCCAAAGGGAUCCAAAUAUUUGGCCUGAACCUGAAAAUUUUUUCCCCGAGAGGUUUGUUGGGAGCAGUAUAGACAUGCGUGGACGUGACUUCCAACUUUUACCAUUUGGCUCAGGCAGAAGAAGUUGCCCUGCGAUGCCGUUGGGGAUAAUCAUUGUCCAUCUUGUAGUAGCACAACUGGUGCAUUGCUUUGAUUGGGAGCUUCCAAAUGGUAUGGAGCCUUGUGAUUUGGAUGUUGAGGAGCACUUUGGAUUAGCAACAAGCAGAGCAAAUCCUUUAAUGGCUAUUCCUACUUAUAGGCUAAACAAUGCUUAAUACAAUAUGGGUACGUACGUUGGCUGAAAUAGUUGGCCUUGAUUAAAUAAGAUCAUAGUUGGGUAAGGUCUACGUACAUUCUACCUUUCCUAGACUCCAUUUGUGGGAUUUCAAUGGCUACGUUGUUGUUGAAUAUCAUUUCACAAAUAAUGGAGUUGGUUGAAAUAGUUGGCCUUAAACAAAUAAGAUUUGUGCAAUGAAAACCGUUUAUUUUCUGCUUACCUAAACUAAACUGAAUGUCUCAGUGGCUUAACUCAGUUUUCAAGCAAUUUGUAAUAUGAAUUGUAGAAACAAAAUCAAUUCAUUACAUGUUAUGAUUAAUGUCAUUCAUAUUAGCUUCAUUACAUACAAGAUAGAAUGAGGUAACCACUCAUUGAAACAUUUCUACAAACUUGAAGUAAGGUUAGCAAGUAGCCAUACUAUAUCACUGUUUAUAUCAAGAAAACAUAAGUUCAAUCUUUUCUUCAUUCUGGUCUAAAUUUUCAUAAGGAAAAUCCAAAAAAGUAACAAAACAACCAGCAAUAAGCUUAGGAAAUUCAACAUCUAACAUACAUACAUAAAAACGAAUGACUUUUUAUAUGCACUUUUUUUACGUACGGAUAGCUCAUGCCAACUAUAUAGACAUAACUUAAACUCGUUUUUACCAAAAUAAAUUACUAUAUAGACAUAACUUAAACUCGUUUUUACCAAAAUAAAUUGUGAAAAUGAAGAGAGAAAAAUAGAAGAAAACCUGGAGUCAGGGUGAACAAUCCAUUCCCAAAGUCUCACAUACAUAGCACAUUAGAAAAUUAGUUAAAACUUCUUUCUUGUAUUCAUAAAAGUUAUUCUCAUUAUUGAUGUAUAAACUACUUAAUUUUGCAUAAUUGAGUGAAAAAGCUGUUGAUUACUUAGCGGAAGGCUUACUCAAGCAAACUGGAGACUCUAAUUUCAACAUUAAACUUUAAAAUCUCAAGUUAACUAUUAACUAAAAUAAAUGUCUGAAAAUGACUAACAACGUAUAGAUAAGCAUCUUAAGACCUCAAAACAUCUCAACAAAAGACAAUAUCGAAAGACUACUCAACUUUAACUAUUUACGAAGCCUCUAAAUACUACAAUAGAUGCCGGGAGAAGACCCACAACAUCUUUACAAAAUAGAAAUAUAAAUGUGGAGCCCUUCGGAAAGCAAGGAGGCUCACCAAAGCUAGUUGGAGUGCAAAUGUUGUCAACGAAGUGCUUGUUGAUGACCCUGAAAUCAUGUAUCUGGAUUAUAAAUAAGAUGUAGGUCGAAUGACAUCACUAAAUUGAAUGUACGAGCAUGCAGGGAAAAUUGAAACAUAGAUAACUGAACUGAUAACAUGGGAAGACAAUAUUCACCUCACCUCAACUCCCAUAUAUUAAAGCAAUAAUAAGAGAUUCAAUAUUAAAAAUAGUAAAUAUCAACUCUAGAAGUAUAAAAGUACAUAAAGUUAUUCUUUACUUUUAUUUAGGAGAUUCUCUAACCGACAAUAAUCAUUAUGAGUUAUGUUAUGAUACAACGUUUCACCCACACUAUCAUAACUGUCUUAUACCUUACUGGGUAUUGAACACAUCAACUAAGUAGAUUCACUAAGCUAUACUUAAAAGCAAUAAGGAAUCAUCCAAAAAGUAUGAUCCCUUACCCAUAUCGACUACAUUAGUUAAGUAUCAUUAGAACCAAUGUCGCUAAAGGCUUUAGGGACAUAUACAAAGAGUGACAAUUGCCACUAAAAAUAUAUAUUUAGCGGCAAUUAAGAAUUAAAUGCUGCUAAUGGUCAUUUUUGUUGUAGUGUUACUUCCUGAUGACUUACUUCAAAACUAUACUUAAUUACGAAAGAAUUCUCAAACUGAUUCAAAAUGACCUCUUGAAUUUUCCUCUUAAACUCACUUUAAUUUAAAAUGCAAAUUAAGACAUGUGAUUAGAAUAUGAAGGAUCUCUCAAGGAUUAAUGGAGCCUUUAGGAGCUAAGAUGAAGAAGAAAACAUAGUCACAAUUCAAAGGAACUAGUCCAAAAAAUGAAGCACAACAGGAAAAAGACGAGGCGACCUUGGCAUACUGAGUGGUGCAGGGUGCUAGUUCCAAAACUACUGGACUAGCCAGGCCCCAAACUACUGGGCAAUAGUUUGAGCACUAUGGGUGGCGCUCCGCCUUACACUUUGCCCAUAAUUCUAAUGAAUUUUUCUACUUCGAUUCGGGUUCUAACUCAUCGAAAAUCAAGUGAUUUCUUCUAAACUCUUUUUGAUUCACAAACCUACACAGAUUCAUAGAAAUUUCAUGUAAUUCCCAUCAAGAAUCACAAAUCAUUCUCAAGAUGCUCAACCCAAGAAACUCAAAACUCUCAUUGUAAAGAAUGAAACAACAAUCAAGAACUACUCAAAAAUCUCUUAACAUAACGAUUUUAUGGACAAAUUUAGAUGCAAGGCGUUAGGACGAACAAGUCCAUCGCUGUGUUAAGCCUUAUAUACCUGGAAAGAACAAUGUUCUUUGCGAAUUCCACAAAUCUUAAUGAACGCUAGAAACUUAGCCCUUUUCUCUUCUUCAAACCUCGCUCUAAAUCCCUAAGUGUUAAGAUGCGUGAAAAAUGUCUUAGCGUGUGAUUAAACCCUUAAUUGGGUGAGUAACAACGUGUUUAAUCCUAGUAAAAGGAAAACAUAAAAAUAUCCUUUUCUCAAACUAUGAAAUGCUUUAACUAGUGAAGUUUUACUCAAACAAACAUAACUAUUUACUCUAAGCUCAAAAGUCAGAUAAAUGUUUGAGGUUUCACAC
rnacentral:lncRNA from 1 species